UGUUAAAGCAUCAAUCGAGUUUGUGAGCGCAUCUCAAAGCGUGACGCCGCAGCUCUUAAACGACCUUCGACGCACCAAAUGACACCCCAUCGACAACAUGUGGCCGGCCGCAUCGCUCCUCCCCAACCCCCCGACUCCGCAACCCCGUCCCCGACUCUCCGGCGGGUUCCGACACCGCACCAGCGAACGCCGUCGAUGCUCUACGCUUACCGUGCUUUCCUCCUCCUCUUCCUCUUCCUCUAGCGACGCAAAGGAGGACCUGGUCACUGCCGCCGGGCGUCUCCUUUGGGGCCGCGGCCUCCCCCCUCAGGCCCUCGUCUCUGCCGUCCGAUCCGGAUGGUCUGCCGCGUGGCACCUAAUGAUGCGCCAACUCGCUCCCUCCUCCUCCGCCGCCGCCGCCUCCCCACCUGGCUCCUAUGCUCGUCCCACUUCCUCCUUUCCCUCGGUCCCCGCCUCGUACUGCCGGAACCCCACGAACCUCCACCUCUACGUCGCCCUCCCUUGCCCCUGGGCGCACCGCGUCCUCGUCGUCCGCGCGCUUAAGGGCCUCCGCUCCGCGCUCCCCGUUUCCAUCGCGGCCCCCGGCCUCGAUGGCUCCUGGCUGUUCCGCCCCCGUGGACCCUCCGCCGUCGGCGAAGAUCUGAGACCCGGGCCCGACCGCGCCAAUGCGCGGAGUACGCUGAGGGAGGUGUACGGGCUCCGGAGGGGCGGCUACGACGGGAGGUCGACGGUGCCAAUGCUUUGGGACGCGGAGAGGAAGGAAGUGGUGUGCAACGAGAGCUACGCGAUCAUCGAGUUCUUGAACUCCGCUGACUUCGGUGGUGAGGUCCAUGGUGGCUCAGGGUUGGACCUCUGCCCGUCGGAGCUCAAAAACGAGAUCGACGACUGGAAUCGGGUGAUCUAUCCCAACGUUAACAAUGGGGUUUAUAGAUGCGGGUUUGCGCAGAGCCAAGAAGCAUAUGACACUGCAGUCAAUGGAUUGUUCAACACAUUGGAUAUGAUAGAAUCUCAUCUGUCUACCUCUCGCUACUUGUGUGGGGAUGCACUGACUUUAGCUGAUGUCUGCCUAUUUACUACUUUGAUCCGUUUCGACCUUGUGUACAACGUCCUCUUCAAGUGCACAAAGAAGAAGCUACUUGAGUACCCCAAUCUUUAUGGCUAUACAUGUGAUAUGUAUCAGAUUCCAGAGGUUGUGAGUACGUGCAAUUUUGAGGCUAUCAUGGAUGGUUACUACUGUACUCUAUUUCCUCUGAAUCCUGGUGGGAUCCUGCCAGUCAUGCCUUCAGCUUGCAAUCAUGAUUUGCUUUCUAAACCGCAUAAUAGAGAAGCAUUAUCUUCGAGUGGCAAACAAAGCAUACAUGCUUCAGAAACCUAACAGUCAACUGCUUGUCUCAGAAAAACAAAUCAUUCAAAAUGUUCCAGCUGCUUUCCCAGCAUAGCAAGUACUGACAUAUUAAAGAAAACUAUGAUGCAGUGGCACUACUAAUGCAGGAAAAUCAUACAAAUGUGCAUUGUGUGGAAAGAGUAAGAAUUGGGGAGCUAUCUAAGAGGAUUCAGCUAUCUACUUAAAUGAGCAGCUAUGUAUUGCAAUUCCAAGGGUUAUUUACUACCCUGCAAGCAUUUUAACCUAGAUCAAAAGCGAGCAAAAAGUGCAGCCGUCUCUGUCUAUUAUGGCCAUGUUUGCAACUGAAUAUUUGAAGGCGUGCCUUUCAGAUUCGGAAGCAAGCUUAUGAAUGCUGAUCGAGGAAUUAUCUACGACAAAAGGCUUUUAGUGGUUCUGAGAGGCAUAAUUUGUCAAUCGUGUGAUAAAUGGUGAUAGCAAAAUGUCCCUCUAAACACAGUUCUCAGCAUAAGGAGAUCCAAAUUAACUUACAUUCAGAUUCAAAGUUGGCUAGCUACAAGGUACCGCAGGAAGAACGAUACUGGAAGAAGAUCUUGUUGGUUAUUGUUGUAAAAUAAAAUGUAACCAUGAUGACGGUGUUCUCAAAACAUUACUGUUGAUUUUGAGAAAUUCUAGUUAGUGAUUGUUAAUUUAUCUAUAUCUUCGUUCCCUCUUUUGUUGAUUUCUAGAAAUUCUAGAUAAUGAUUGUUAAUUUCUCUCUA